rnacentral:rRNA from 1 species
GGAUAACUCCGGGAAACCGGGGCUAAUACCGGAUGGUUGAUUGAACCGCAUGGUUCAGACAUAAAAGGUGGCUUCGGCUACCACUUACAGAUAGGACCCGCGGCGCAAUUAGCUAGUUGGUAGAGGUAACGGCUCACCAAGGCAACGAUGCGUAGCCGACCUGAGAGGGUGAUCGGCCACACUGGGACUGAGACACGGCCCAGACUCCUACGGGAGGCAGCAGUAGGGAAUCUUCCGCAAUGGACGAAAGUCUAGACGGAGCAACGCCGCGUGAGUGAUGAAGGUUUUCGGAUCGUAAAGCUCUGUUGUUAGGGAAGAACAAGUGCCGUUCAAAUAGGGCGGCACCUUGACGGUACCUAACCAGAAUGCCACGGCUAACUACGUGCCAGCAGCCGCGGUAAUACGUAGGUGGCAAGCGUUGUCCGGAAUUAUUGGGCGUAAAGGGCUCGCAGGCGGUUUCUUAAGUCUGAUGUGAAAGCCCCCGGCUCAACCGGGGAGGGUCAUUGGAAACUGGGGAACUUGAUUGCAGAAGAGGAGAGUGGAAUUCCACGUGUAGCAGUGAAAUGCGUAGAGAUGUGGAGGAACACCAGUGGCGAAGGCGACUCUCUGGUCUGUAACUGACGCUGAGGAGCGAAAGCGUGGGGAGCGAACAGGAUUAGAUACACUGGUAGUCCACGC